rnacentral:rRNA from 1 species
CCUACGGGAGGCAGCAGUGGGGAAUUUUGGACAAUGGGCGCAAGCCUGAUCCAGCAAUGCCGCGUGAGUGAAGAAGGCCUUCGGGUUGUAAAGCUCUUUUGUCAGGGAAGAAACGGUGGGGGCUAAUAUCCCUCGCUAAUGACGGUACCUGAAGAAUAAGCACCGGCUAACUACGUGCCAGCAGCCGCGGUAAUACGUAGGGUGCAAGCGUUAAUCGGAAUUACUGGGCGUAAAGCGUGCGCAGGCGGUUUUGUAAGUCUGUCGUGAAAGCCCCGGGCUCAACCUGGGAAUUGCGAUGGAGACUGCAAGGCUUGAAUCUGGCAGAGGGGGGUAGAAUUCCACGUGUAGCAGUGAAAUGCGUAGAGAUGUGGAGGAACACCGAUGGCGAAGGCAGCCCCCUGGGUCAAGAUUGACGCUCAUGCACGAAAGCGUGGGGAGCAAACAGGAUUAGAUACCCUGGUAGUCCACGCCCUAAACGAUGUCUACUAGUUGUCGGGUUUUAAUUAACUUGGUAACGCAGCUAACGCGUGAAGUAGACCGCCUGGGGAGUACGGUCGCAAGAUUAAAACUCAAAUGAAAUUGACCGGNUGAGAGUGACGAGGACGACGACGAGGGAGGAGG